GCAUCACUGUAUUGAGCUGCUGAAGAGAGAAUCUCACAGAGUUUGCUCUGAUCUCAGGUGCCGUUCGUCACAAUGAGGUUUCUGAUCUCACUGUGUGUGUCUCUACUGCUGCUGAUUAAUGGUGAAAUAAUCAAUGGACAAACAACAGGUACA